CUGAUUUUUUUGGGGGGGAGGGACUAAUUUGUUUGGGUUUGGGUUUGGGGGGGGUGGCUACCAGCAUUUUUAGUGGUAUCUAAAUGCAUGAAAUGACAUGCAAAGUUUUGCACACCUCUAUUGCACACACACGGGUGAGCAGGUCUGAUUGCAAUAUUUCUCAUCUAUCAGUCAUUCUGAAGUGAGAGUGAUGAUUCAAUAAAAAAAGACCCCUAUGAUUAGUUUCACUUGCAGGGGUGUAAAAUUCUAAGGUGUGGCUUUACUAUUUAAAUUGCAGAUGGGAGUCGUUUCUGGAUGUUCUUCUAUGUGCAACUUCCUGCAGGUCAGUCUAGUAUAGUAAGGAGGAAAAUGCUAGUAUAAUCCAUUUCCCAUUCUGCUAAAUUUUCACUUGUAAAGAGACAUUAAAAUGAAGAAACAUUCCCCAAGGUGAUCUUCUGUGUAUUGUCCAAAGUUGCACUGUACAUUUUACUCCCUGGUGGCAGUACCACAUUUCCCUAUCUUAUUCUGCUGCAUGAAUAUACAGAAUCCAUGGUGCUGGAAUGUAGUUUAUGUACAUAGAAAUCAAACAUCAUUAGAUCACGCUACAUGGAAGAAACUUCCACACUACUAGAUAAUUGAGAUUUGAAGUGAAGCAUAAUGGUUGCACUGGAAAAAGUGGUGUUCCAAUUUGGUAAGGAUUAGAUACAGAAUCGUGACAAAACCCAAGGUCACAAUUGCUCAGUACACUAGCUUUUGCAAGGUUAUGACCACUAAAGCUUCAGGACAUUUUCAAAUCCAGAGAUGAUACAAAGCUAAACCAACAAUAGAGGGAUUGCUUCUUUAUGUGGAUCAUGGGAUUGACUCUUUAUUCCUUCUAGCAUUUUAGGUUAUCUGUGCUGGACUCGAAGAGACCCCUUCCAAAAGAAAAUAAGAAAGAAAAAGACUCAGUAUGAAAGCGUGCAGAAAGUUUGAUCUGUCAGGAGAAACUGCUGAAGCACUGUUGAUUUGCCCUCAGCCAUGCCUGUGUUGUGCUACAUUGCCCUCUGGCCAACAAUCGGAGCAAACAGAUUCUCCUAACUUCUGCCUCGCUGCAUCUGUUCCAUGUGCUGCCAUGCAAAGCAAAUUAGCCAUUUUCUUUUAAAAAAUACUGUGAAACAGGUGUUCAGGUCAGGCUUCCAUUUUACAAAAUCAUUUUAUAUAUUCUUCUGCUGUAUUAACUCCACACAAAUGAUGACCAGUGUCGUGUCUUACUUUUUCAGCUAACCCAUCCAGAAGUACUGCAAUUCCAGUUUAUCGAUAUGGGCCUUUGAAUCCAAGUGUGUGACAGAUUCAAACACAGCAGCUUAUGGACUUGCUCAUAAAAGCUCAAACUGAAUCAAAGGAUAGUUUAAUAGAAUCGGCAUUUGAUAUUAUUUAAAGAUGCACUAAAAUGCUAUUUAAUUAAAUAUGACAAUCGUGAAUUCCAUAUCGGCCAGGAACAUUAAAAAUAGAUCUACCAUAAGAUCUUACUCAUUUUGAAAUGGUUAGUUCUGUGUAUAAGCAAAAUGUCACAAUUUAAUAUUUUAUUUCCCAUAAAACACUGAACUGAACUGAAUUUCUCACCCUUGCCCUCAAUUAUUGGUGGCUGGAGCAAUUCAUAGAUAGAGCAUAUGUAAGAAACGGCAUAGGUGAAAAGAUAUAUGCUAGCAGCUCAUUAUUAAACUCUAGAUACUGAGUGUAGACCAGGCACAUACUGAAGCUUAAUAGCACUAGUGUCAUGUGU
ensembl:lncRNA